rnacentral:rRNA from 1 species
CCUACGGGAGGCAGCAGUGGGGAAUAUUGGGCAAUGGAGGCAACUCUGACCCAGCAACGCCGCGUGAAUGAUGAAGGUCUUCGGAUUGUAAAGUUCUUUUCUAAGGGAAGAAGAAAGUGACGGUACCUUAGGACUAAGCCUCGGCUAACUACGUGCCAGCAGCCGCGGUAAUACGGAGGAGGCAAGCGUUAUCCGGAAUGACUGGGCGUAAGGGGUGCGUAGGUGGUUUGACAAGUUAGUAGCGCAACUCCGGAGCUCAACUUCGGAACUACUACUAAAACUGUUGGACUGGAGUGCAGGAGGGGCAAUAGGAAUGCCUAGUGUAGCGGUGGAAUGCGUAGAUAUUAGGAGGAACACCAGUGGCGAAGGCGGAUUGCUAGACUGUAACUGACACUGAGGCACGAAAGCGUGGGGAGCAAACAGGAUUAGAUACCCCAGUAGUC